UGGUGGCGAUGGCGGAGGGGUUCCACGCGUACCCAUCCCGAACACGACCGUUAAGCCCUCCAGCGCCGAUGGUACUUGGACCGAAGGGUCCUGGGAGAGUAGGACGUUGCCA
rnacentral:rRNA from 3 species